rnacentral:lncRNA from 1 species
GAAGGAUUCUACACUAUCACACUUGCACUAUAUUAUUAAUAAUAAAUCAAUUACAUUCCUUCUUUUCAAAAAAAAUAUAAUAAAAAUAUUUUUUUAUAAUCAUGAUGGAAUAUAUAUUUUUAAAAGGAGAUUUUUGAUUGAUUUGUUACGCCACUUCAUCAAUAUAUUCGUUGCAUUCUAAAAUUUUUCGUGUGUAAAAGAACUUCGUGCAGUAUAAAUUUUUUUUUUUUUAGAGAAAUAAAUAGCAUGCUAUCUGUUUCAUUUAUUUUAUUUAAAAAUAAUUUUAACUAGAAAUAAUAUGAUUCAAAUUUAGAAUCUCGAAUAUCAACUAUUAAAUUUUUUGUUACUUGCACUAGAGACUAUUGGUCGGUCUAAGUUGUAUUGUGUUGUGAUGUAUUGUGUUAUUGGGGGUAACGUGAAAGGGCAGGAGG